ensembl:lncRNA
GUCAUUCAGCUGUGAUUAAGCCUUAGGUUUGAGUACCACAAAGCUGAAGACAGCUCACUGCUGGAUCCUACAAGCCCUGCAGGGCUGGGAUGAAAGCUCAGUCUGACAGGAUUUUCUGUUUCAGGUACCUGUCACAAGAACCCAAAAAUGACCAAGUGCUGUGCAGAACUCUCUACACAGAAAGUGCCACUUCCUUACUGGGUGCAUGCAAAUAUUUACUGGAUCUUUGGACAACGAGGUGGAUCAGUCCAAAGGAGACAUCACAGAAGUGCAUACAACAGGGUCACUCCAAGGUCAUGUCUAAGCUGCUAACGGGUUUUCUGUGUUGUCAUUGCAUAAUAAUACAUGUGUGACAAGGAAGAGGUUAACCCUUAGGCAUGUCAUACCUACUUCAACUUUUAGAGAAACUGAGAAAUCUGAAUAUGAGUUUCUUGCUCCUAAUUGUUCAAAAGCAAGCUAUGGUUUGUUGGCUUUUUGUUUUUUGUAUUAAAUGAGCAAUCCCCAAAAAUGAGACUGUCAGAUGCAUCAAGUUAAUGUCUAGAUUUACUCAUCACACUUUUAACAUACAUCACUCUUUUAAGUAUUUUAUAUUGAUACAAUAUGAACAUAAUUUAUAUUAAACAUUUUAGGUUUUACCUAUUUUGAGUCGUUUUUGAUACCUAUGUGAAUUGGUUUGGCUAGAAAUGUAAGAUAAUUGCUAUUACAUUCUUCUGGAAUAUAUAAAAACUGCUUUAAUCAAACAAAGCUUUAAAUAAGUUAUUUUGUUUUUCUUUGAAGCUUUUCCUCCUAUAUUUAGAGUCACUUAAAAGAUAUGAAAGUUGUCAUACUAAAGUACUCUUCUUGAUUACAGUACGGCUUGAAAAUGCAAAUCAUAGAGAUUCAGAAUUCAAAAAGCAAGUUUAAAAGCAUUUUAAACAUGAAAUUUAAAGGCAGUGCCAUUACUUAUUUUUGAGAUCUUUCUCUCAAAGCAAGCUGUUAUUUAACUCAGUCGUAACUGCUUGAAUUUUUGGUCCAGUACUCCUGUACAGUGUCUGAAUUAUACCUCUCACAGAACAGAUCUUAUUCUACCUCAUCCAUUGUAGAAUCAGGUUAAAUAUAGCGUCUUAAAUGUAAGCCCACCUUUGCAUAUGCAGUUUAGGAAUGGAAGGUUUGCUGCUGUAAUGAUUUUACUUGUUAAAUACAUAAUACAUAAUAAAUUAAAUUGGUAUAACUUAAUAAUAGGCUUC